GACGUAGGAGGCGAGCGUUGUCCGGAUUCAUUGGGCGUAAAGAGCGCGCAGGCGGCUUGGUAAGUCGGAUGUGAAAUCCCGAGGCUCAACCUCGGGUCUGCAUCCGAUACUGCCCGGCUAGAGGUAGGUAGGGGAGAUCGGAAUUCCUGGUGUAGCGGUGAAAUGCGCAGAUAUCAGGAAGAACACCAAUGGCGAAAGCAGCUCUCUGGGACGGUACUGGACGCUGAGACGCGAAAGCCGUGGGGAGCGAACAGG
rnacentral:rRNA from 1 species